rnacentral:rRNA from 1 species
UACGGAGGGUCCAAGCGUUAUCCGGAAUCAUUGGGUUUAAAGGGUGCGUAGGCGGUUUAAUAAGUCAGUGGUGAAAGCCCAUCGCUCAACGAUGGAACGGCCAUUGAUACUGUUAAACUUGAAUUAUUAGGAAGUAACUAGAAUAUGUAGUGUAGCGGUGAAAUGCUUAGAGAUUACAUGGAAUACCAAUUGCGAAGGCAGGUUACUACUAAUAUAUUGACGCUGAUGGACGAAAGCGUGGGGAGCGAACAGG